GCCUGACGAGCACGCCGCGUGAUGAUGAAGGCCUUCGGGUUGUAAAUUCUGUUAUAAGGGAAGAAUGGCUCUAGUAGGAAAUGGCUAGAGUGUGACGGUACCUUAUGAGAAAGCCACGGCUAACUACGUGCCAGCAGCCGCGGUUAUACGUAAGUGGUGAGCGUUAUCCGGAAUUAUUGGGCGUGACGAGCCCGCAGGUGGUUAAUUAAGUCUGAUGUGAAAGCCCACGGCUUAACCGUGGAAGGUCAUUGUAAACUGGUCGACUUGAGUGCCUGGUGUAGAAGUGGAAUUCCAUGUGUAGCGGUGAAAUGCGUAUAGAUAUGGAGGAACACCAGUGGCGAACUGACUUCCUGGUCUGUAACUGACACUGAGGCGCGAAUUAGUGGCGAGCAAACAGGAUUAGAUACCCUGGUAGUCCACGCCGUAAACAAUGAGUGCUAAGUGUUGGGCGUCGAACCUCAGUGCUGAAGUUAACGCAUUAAGCACUCCGCCUGGGGAGUACGGUCGCAGGACUGAAACUCAAACGAAUUGAC
rnacentral:rRNA from 2 species